rnacentral:rRNA from 1 species
AGUGAACGCUGGCGGUAGGCCUAACACAUGCAAGUCGAACGGCAGCACAGGAGAGCUUGCUCUCUGGGUGGCGAGUGGCGGACGGGUGAGGAAUACAUCGGAAUCUACUCUGUCGUGGGGGAUAACGUAGGGAAACUUACGCUAAUACCGCAUACGACCUACGGGUGAAAGCAGGGGACCUUCGGGCCUUGCGCGAUUGAAUGAGCCGAUGUCGGAUUAGCUAGUUGGCGGGGUAAAGGCCCACCAAGGCGACGAUCCGUAGCUGGUCUGAGAGGAUGAUCAGCCAGACUGGAACUGAGACACGGUCCAGACUCCUACGGGGGGCAGCAGUGGGGAAUAUAGGACAAUGGGCGCAAGCCUGAUCCAGCCAUGCCGCGUGGGUGAAGAAGGCCUUCGGGUUGUAAAGCCCUUUUGUUGGGAAAGAAAUCCAGCUGGCUAAUACCCGGUUGGGAUGACGGUACCCAAAGAAUAAGCACCGGCUAACUUCGUGCCAGCAGCCGCCGUAA